rnacentral:misc_RNA from 1 species
GUUGCACAGGUGGCUCUGAGAUGGAUAAUUGAGCAAGGGGCAACUCUUGUAGUAAAGAGCUAUAAAAAGGCAAGGCUAAUGGAGAAUAUGGAGAUAUUUGAUUGGGCACUGACAAAGGAAGAUAAGGAAAAGAUCAGUCAAAUACCACAGCAAAGAAUCAUGCUUAAAGAGGAAUUUAUCUCGCCUGAUGGGCCAUUCAAGUCUAUUGAAGAGCUGUGGGAUGGGGAGCUUUAACGUUAAAUAUAUGAAGUAUAAGCAUGCAUAGGGGGCUAUAGUCUUAAAAAUAAGAUGGUUGUGUUGUGUGGUUGUAUUCUAUGCUAGUAACGUUGCAGCCUGUAAUUCUUUCCAUCCUGCUGUUGCUGUAUUCUAUGUUUUCACGGAUGUUCUGAGUUGCUCGGAAUUGUUUCCUUACUGAAUUUAUCGCCAA